CACACGACUCUCGGCAACGGAUAUCUCGGCUCUCGCAUCGAUGAAGAACGUAGCGAAAUGCGAUACCUGGUGUGAAUUGCGGAAUCCCGCGAACCAUCGAGUCUUUGAACGCAAGUUGCGCCCGAGGCCACUCGGCCGAGGGCACGCCUGCCUGGGCGUCACGC
rnacentral:rRNA from 2 species